ensembl:lncRNA
GGAGGGGGUGUGUGAAUAAGCUAUAAACAAAAUUAAAUAAAAAAACACCGGUCACACGGUAGAUGUACACAACUAUGAGGAGACAACAGAGGAGAGGGUGGCCAUGUCUUUACCUCCGCAUCGCUAACCCUAGCAAGCUUACUAGCUAGCGCCCCCGUCUCCCACUUGACAGACAACUGGCUUGAUGCCUAAUGGCUUCUUGAUAGCGCUGCUUGAGUGGUAGACACCCCCCUCCCCAGACACCCCCCUUACCCUCGGAAGAGUUUUUAAACUACGAGACGGACAAGCCGGACAGGAUGCGAUUCAUUUGUCCGUCAAGUGUCGAGGGGCGACAAACACGGGGGUCUCACGGUGACCUCCGUUGGAGUUGCUCCCAUCGCCGUCUCCUUUCACGGUCGGCGAAGAGGAGGUGUCUGCGCCGCGGAGGGCCACUACCGGACCACCAUACAGAAUAAUAGUAGUUAAAGUGAAAGAGGCCCUCCCGGGUGUUGUUAUUGCGUCUUAUAAAACGACAGAUGAAAGCGCUGUUGAAAUACAGAUGAGGGAGUGGAUUCUGCGGUAGAGUAAGGGGACAUGGGCUUCCGGUCGCUGGCGCCCAUUAAAGAUGCGCUCUCGUUUUGUCGUGAUCCAAGGCGAGUUUGUUCUUUGUCUCCUCCUGUGAGAAAUGGUGCUAGCUCAUCGUUUUGGGGACGUAAAGUUUGUGUUUUCUUCUCUACGCACCAGAAAACAUGGCAGGAAACAACAGACUGUGCAUCCCAGUCGAAAGCCGAGCUAAGUGUGGAGUGCAGUGUGAAGGCUCUGUUAUGGUUUCAAGUCGACGCAACACCAGGGGGAUUAUGGACCCAUUACGUCCUUGCGGACCCUCCUGGUGUCCUCGGCAAAACAUCGCGAAAAUCGUGGCCAUAUCAAAAAUGUGGGAGGCCUUGGCAAACCGCCUCGGGCAAAACAACAUUGUGUGCGCAACUGGGCAGUCAAACGUGAUUAACCGGAAAUAAAAAUGGAAGGAAGAGAUGUCGAGCUCUGGCCUUUGCUACGCAACUUGGUGAGGCCGGGGGGAAAAGCCCAUAAAAAGGAGGAGAUCUUGGGUUCACGACAUAAAAAAAGAGAAAAAUAUAAGAAAAACUUAGAAAAAGGUAACGGUAUGGUUUUAAAUCUGUGUUAAAGUAGUAAAGCCCGCCUCUUCCUUGAUUUGAUUGGCUGCCUGGACCAGGUGUGAGAUUGACGAGCAGUGGGACUGGUGCUGAAAAGCUUUCUGCUGAAAAGUUCUAAAGAGAAUAUUUUUGCUUUUAUGCACGUCUAAAUCUGUCAGAAAGGCGCAACACAAGAGUGGAGCGCACAGCAGCAAACCACAGCAAAAUAAAAGGUUUUGCUUGCCGUGCGUUUCUAGUGAUGCACCUCUGUGGGAUGCUAACCCUAUAAAAUGUAUAAAACCCAAAACAUUGUAACGUAGUCGGGCAUAUAUCAGAUCAUGUAUCCUACAUGACCGUAAAGUUAAGCGUUUAACCUUACAAUUCUGUUUUAAUGAACGAACGAACUGCAGAUCACCAUCUUACCCUUUACUUCAGCGACAGCAUUGAAGCAUAGUUCUUCAGUUGACACUAAUUAUCAAGUGAUGUACACGGUUUUAAGACACACCUCUCUCCCACUCUCUCUCCCUGCUGUAAAAGCUCUCCCUCUCAUUGUCUGGGUGGUGGGGGGGGGUUUCAUCGGGGACCCUUCCCGAACAAACAAGAGGUUUUCACGGUCCUGAUUCAGGGCUGAGUAUGGCGAGAGGGGGCUCUCACGGGAACCUGUGUAGGGGCCAGGCCAUUGUAGGGGCCCCAGUCAGGGUGGAUGUCUGCUGGGGCUCCUAUUCAUCUGACACAUAGGGCCUGCAUAUAUGCUGGCCCUGUGUGUGUGUGUGUGUGUGUGUGUGUGUGUGUGUGUGUGUGUGUGUGUGUGUGUGUGUGUGUGUGUGUGUGUGUGUGUGUGUGUGUGUGUGUGUGUGUGUGUGUGUUUCAUAUCGUAGCUAUCAAAGCCAAAACAACAAGAACGAAGAAGCUCAAUCAAUUAAUUGUAUUUAUCACUGGAACAAACAGACAGGCCGCCAGAGCAGAGGAUAGCAGAGAGCAGGGGAGAUAGAGAGGGGAGGAAGGGGGGUGGGGAGUGGGGUGGUCAAGCUGUUGAGGAGCCUUAUUGCACAGGGAUAGAAGCUCUUUGCCAUCCUGGAGGUGCGUGCCUUUUUUGAUCUGAACCUUUUCCCUGACGGGAGUAACAGGAACAGAUGAUGGGCAGGAUGAGAAGGGUCUGUGAGGAUGCGUUUAGAGCGCUGCAGGCAACGGGAGGAGGAGAUGGACAAGAUGUCGGGCAGCUCUACUCCAAUGAUCCUUCCCGCUGUUUUAAUCA